UGACUUUUGGCUAUUUUUAUUCAUUCAUAAGGAAUGGGAAUGGGUGAAUGAAUGAAUGGAUUGAUGUUUUGAACACAUCUAAAGUUUAACUUUUUUUCUUCUCUUUUGUGUUUUUAGCCAUAAUUCACAGACUACUGCAUCAUCAUCAUCAUCAUCAUCAACCCUUUUGUUUCUGAUCUCAUCAUUACAAUAAACAACAACAAUAAUAACUUCUAUAUAUACUAUUCGGGUACUCCGGAUCAUCAUUGGAAAAAAAAGAAAAAAUUUCAAAAAAAAAAAAAAAUUUGUUUCAUAUUAAUUUCGAUAACUCCCACAACAUACACCAUACACACACACGCAUAGUUUGUGUACUAAGGUCCACCAUGAUGUGCUUUUAAAAAAAAAAAAUCAUAGAUUGUACCAUUCAUUGAUUGAUUCAAAAAAGAAUGAUUUUUAUCAUAUAUAGUGCGUAUCAUGUGCCGAUUGUAUCCAAUAAAUAAAUGAAAUCAUUAUUAUUAUUAUUAA